rnacentral:rRNA from 1 species
UACAGAGGUCUCAAGCGUUGUUCGGAUUCAUUGGGCGUAAAGCGCAUGUAGGCGGCCAUUCAAGUCGGGGGUGAAAUCCCAGGGCUCAACCCUGGAACUGCCUUCGAUACUGUCUGGCUCGAGUAUGGAAGAGGUUGGUGGAACUGCGAGUGUAGAGGUGAAAUUCGUAGAUAUUCGCAAGAACACCAGUGGCGAAGGCGGCCAACUGGUCCAUCACUGACGCUGAGAUGCGAAAGCGUGGGGAGCAAACAGG